rnacentral:lncRNA from 10 species
UGAAAGGGUACGAAGAGACACUAUAAAACAGCUCUCUCUAGACACUGACCCUUAGACCCAAUCUGGGUGCUCAGAGGAAGUCCAAGCAGCCUGUGAUGAGGCCCCCAUGGAGAGAAACCAAGACUCCUAGCCCCCAGCCCAGAGAAGCUUCCAGACAAUGUCCAGAACCUCCUUGCCAGCCUCCUGAGUAAGGAAUCCCGACAUGGACCUCCCAGGAAAAUCGUCCUUGCAUGGGAAGACAAACUAAAGCCCACAUCACUGAAGGAUUUGUCAUGAUGAAAAAGAAAAUGAAUAAAAACAGAAUAUAUUUUAUAUU